UGUUGAAACACUGGUUCUCAUCUGAUCACCAAACUUAAGCAACAUCAAGCUUGGUCAGUACCUAGAUGAGUGACCACUUAGGAAUAGCAGGUGCUGUAAG